CCAAAAACACAUACAGUGCCCCCAUACAUACACUGCCCCCUAACACACACACUACAACCCUGACAUACACUGCCGCACUCACACACUUCACCCUUAACACACACCACUGCUCCUAUACCCUAUAUCCCAGCAGACCCCAGAUAAGUUGUCAAACUGUUCUUAAACGGUAUGACUACUUACUCUGGGGUGGAAUCCUGGCACUACUGACACCAUAACUACUACACUGAGCUGUAGUGGUUAUUGUGCUUGGAUUAUUUAAUUAAAUAAUCUACAAGUGCCCCUCCCGAGAUCAGGCUCUGGAUCCGCCACUGUCACCCCGAGCCACAUUCCUCCUCAGUACACCUUCCCCAACCACAUUGCUUCCCAGUCUCCCUCUGCAGUACAUCUUGUCCCAGCCACAUUCCUCCCCAGUGCAUCUUUUCCCAGGCAGAUUCCCCUAGUCCAUCUUCUCCCAACCACAUAACUCCCUAGGUGAACACAUCUCAAUAACAUAACUCCCUAGUAAAGCCCCCACAUUCUUCCCAGAAUAACAGUGAAGUACAUCUCCCUUUGUACUCCUAAUAAAUUUGCCCAUAUGCCCCUAGCAGAUCUAUACACAUCACCAAUUCAUCUCCCCACUCCUUUUCAGCACAUGUCCCUCCAUAUACCAGUACAUCUCCUCCAGUCACACACUUAUACAGCUUUUUGUAUCUGCAAUCAAGUUAUUGUCACGGCUAACAUGAUACUAAAUAGUAUUUUGGCAUAACUUUGCUGCAAUGGUGUUUUUGUAUUUUAUUGUACCCUAUUGAAUCAAUGCAAUGUUUUGUGGACCCAGGACAUACUUGAAAACAAGAUAAAUCUCAAUGUAUUUUUCCUGGUAAAAUAUUUUAUAAAUAAAUAAAUAAAU